rnacentral:rRNA from 1 species
CCUACGGGUGGCAGCAGUGAGGAAUAUUGGUCAAUGGGCGAGAGCCUGAACCAGCCAAGUCGCGUGAGGGAUGAAGGAUCUAUGGUUCGUAAACUUCUUUUAUAUGGGAAUAAAGUGCGGAACGUGUUCCUUUUUGUAUGUACCAUAUGAAUAAGCAUCGGCUAACUCCGUGCCAGCAGCCGCGGUAAUACGGAGGAUGCGAGCUUUAUCCGGAUUUAUUGGGUUUAAAGGGUGCGUAGGUGGGUAAUUAAGUAAGCGUGGAAAGGUUGUGGCUCAACCAUAAAAUUGCCGUUGAAACUGGUUGACUUGAGUAUAGUUGAGGAAGGCGGAAUGCGUGGUGUAGCGGUGAAAUGCAUAGAUAUAACGCAGAACUCCGAUUGCGAAGGCAGCGUACUAAACUAUAACUGACGCUGAUGCACGAAAGCGUGGGGAUCAAACAGGAUUAGAUACCCGAGUAGUC